GUGCUUGCUUCGGCAGCAUAUAUACUAAAAUUGGAACAAUACAGAGAAGAUUAGCAUGCCCCCUGCACACGGAUGACAUAUCCAUACAUAAAUAUAAUUACACAUAC
rfam:Otolemur garnettii contig004903, whole genome shotgun sequence.